AAAUAUUGCAGAUUGUUCAGCAGUAAAACUUGAUUUUCCGUGUACAUGUUGCACAACAGUGGAUGAACUACGUCAUCGAUCAUACAAAAGCACGCGCUUUGGGUCAGUGCGACACGAAGCGGAAGCGAGUGUAAAGGAAAUAUUGAGCACAUAAAUUCUGUUUAUCUUCGCUGUUUCCUGUGUUGACAGAUCAAUUGGAGGGACAUGCUGAAUGCCAGAAGAAAUUACAGACAACAAUACUGCUCAGUGCAGUAACCAGACCUGAAAAAAAACACUGCUCAAGGCAAACUUUUGGGACAGAGUGCUGCAUACAUGGGCUUAUGCACAAACUGAGAUUUUGCAAGUCAACUGUCAAAGUCAUAAACAUAGAUCUAUAGUGGACAAUGUUGAACAGAGUUGAAGUCCUGGAAUCUCGGUCAACUGCAGAUAGCAGCAUGGCGUAAAGCAGACGUCUUGUUUCCCAGUCCAAUUUUAGUCGGGUAUUCUUGGUGGUAUGAAACUGCAGUCAACACAGGUUUUUAGAGGUCUGCAAGUACAGAGUUUUAAAUUGUGAAACAAAACCUCUAACCAGUUAGCAGUGUGUGUGUGUGUGUGCUAUGCUGUGCUGAGAUAUUGCUGUGACAUAUGGUGCAUUAAGGUCCAUAACCUGGUAUGCAUAAUUUGUAUUUG